rnacentral:rRNA from 1 species
UUCGGGCGCCGGCGAGUGGCGAACGGGUGAGUAACACGUGGAGACCUAUCCAUUGGUGGGGGACAACAGCUGGAAACGGCUGCUAAUACCGCAUAAUCCCUACGGGGGAAAGAUUUAUCGCCAUAGGAGGGUUCCGCGUCGGAUUAGCUAGUUGGUGGGGUAACGGCCUACCAAGGCAACGAUCCGUAGCUGGUCUUAGAGGAUGAUCAGCCACACUGGGACUGAGACACGGCCCAGACUCCUACGGGAGGCAGCAGUGGGGAAUAUUGCGCAAUGGAGGAAACUCUGACGCAGCGAUGCCGCGUGGGUGAAGAAGGCCUUAGGGUUGUAAAGCCCUUUCAGUGGGAACGAUGAUGACGGUACCCACAGAAGAAGCCCCGGCUAACUCCGUGCCAGCAGCCGCGGUAAUACGGAGGGGGCGAGCGUUGUUCGGAAUUAUUGGGCGUAAAGCGCGCGUAGGCGGUUUAUUAAG